rnacentral:rRNA from 1 species
UAAAGAUUCAUCGCUGAUAGAUAGGCAUGCGUUCCAUUAGGCAGUUGGCGGGGUAACGGCCCACCAAACCGACGAUGGAUAGGGGUUCUGAGAGGAAGGUCCCCCACAUUGGUACUGAGACACGGACCAAACUCCUACGGGAGGCAGCAGUGAGGAAUAUUGGUCAAUGGGCGUAAGCCUGAACCAGCCAAGUCGCGUGAGGGAUGAAGGUACUAUGGAUCGUAAACCUCUUUUAUAAGGGAAUAAAGUGUGGGACGUGUCCUAUUUUGUAUGUACCUUAUGAAUAAGGAUCGGCUAACUCCGUGCCAGCAGCCGCGGUAAUACGGAGGAUCCGAGCGUUAUCCGGAUUUAUUGGGUUUAAAGGGUGCGUAGGCGGCCUUUUAAGUCAGCGGUGAAAGUCUGUGGCUCAACCAUAGAAUUGCCGUUGAAACUGGGGGGCUUGAGUAUGUUUGAGGCAGGCGGAAUGCGUGGUGUAGCGGUGAAAUGCUUAGAUAUCACGCAGAACCCCGAUUGCGAAGGCAGCCUGCCAAGCCAUGACUGACGCUGAUGCACGAAAGCGUGGGGAUCAAACAGGAUUAGAUACCCUGGUAGUCCACGCAGUA